AGGCAAGGUGAAUAUACCUGGACAGUAGAAAAGGUCUUCUAACACAGGAGCCACUAGAAACAGUGGGGAGCAGGAUGCAGACACUGAGCUGAAUGACUCGAGCUCAGAUUUGCCUGAAUGAGCAUUUGAGGUUCCAAUUAAAUCCUUGUUUCGGCCAUUGCAUUGCCUGCCAGUAGUUAAUCUUUCUCGAAAGCCUCAUCACUUAUCUAAAACAAAAGAAGAACGAGGUAAGGAGAAAAAGUAAUGAAGUGCAGCAUAGCACAUCUGUCAAAGGAAUGGAAAACCGCUUUAAAAAAAUAAAGUAUCAAUUACAUUAAAAAAUUAUUUUUUGAGCACUAAAUGUGUUCAUGUAAGGCAUGUUAAUUGUAAAGAAUCUGUAAGUACCAUUAUGUCCUUGCAUACAUAGGGUAUAAUGUAUGUUCUAUGGGUUUUGUUGUUUGUGUUUAAGAGAUUUACUGUUGAUGAAGCCACAGGAUACAAAUGACUGAUAGGAAUAGUUGCUAAGUGUGACCUCUCUGUACUAAUGAGUCCUCUGUAAGAUUGUUUGACAUCUUAAUACUGAACUGUUGAAUAUAAUUAACAUUUCUGAAAUUAUUUAAAAUCCACUUUUGGGUCAGUCUUAUUUUAUGUUCUUCAAAUGUGCGUAAUGCAAUACUGGGUACUGUAUUAAAAGACUUAAACUGUUUCAACA